rnacentral:rRNA from 1 species
GUGGGGAAUCUUGCGCAAUGGGCGAAAGCCUGACGCAGCCAUGCCGCGUGAAUGAUGAAGGUCUUAGGAUUGUAAAAUUCUUUCACCGGGGACGAUAAUGACGGUACCCGGAGAAGAAGCCCCGGCUAACUUCGUGCCAGCAGCCGCGGUAAUACGAAGGGGGCUAGCGUUGCUCGGAAUUACUGGGCGUAAAGGGAGCGUAGGCGGACAUUUAAGUCAGGGGUGAAAUCCCGAGGCUCAACCUCGGAACUGCCUUGGGUACUGGGUGUCUUGAGUGUGAGAGAGGUGAGAGGAACUCCGAGUGUAGAGGUGAAAUUCGUAGAUAUUCGGAAGAACACCAGUGGCGAAGGCGACUCACUGGCUCAUUACUGACGCUGAGGCUCGAAAGCGUGGGGAGCAAACAGGAUUAGAUACCCGGGUAGUCC